UCAGGACGAACGCUGGCGGCGUGCCUAAUACAUGCAAGUCGAGCGAGCAGAACCAGCAGAUUUACUUCGGUAAUGACGCUGGGGACGCGAGCGGCGGAUGGGUGAGUAACACGUGGGGAACCUGCCCCAUAGUCUAGGAUACCACUUGGAAACAGGUGCUAAUACCGGAUAAUAAAGCAGAUCGCAUGAUCAGCUUAUAAAAGGCGGCGUAAGCUGUCGCUAUGGGAUGGCCCCGCGGUGCAUUAGCUAGUUGGUAAGGUAACGGCUUACCAAGGCAAUGAUGCAUAGCCGAGUUGAGAGACUGAACGGCCACAUUGGGACUGAGACACGGCCCAAACUCCUACGGGAGGCAGCAGUAGGGAAUCUUCCACAAUGGACGCAAGUCUGAUGGAGCAACGCCGCGUGAGUGAAGAAGGUUUUCGGAUCGUAAAGCUCUGUUGUUGGUGAAGAAGGAUAGAGGUAGUAACUGGCCUUUAUUUGACGGUAAUCAACCAGAAAGUCACGGCUAACUACGUGCCAGCAGCCGCGGUAAUACGUAGGUGGCAAGCGUUGUCCGGAUUUAUUGGGCGUAAAGCGAGCGCAGGCGGAAGAAUAAGUCUGAUGUGAAAGCCCUCGGCUUAACCGAGGAAUUGCAUCGGAAACUGUUUUUCUUGAGUGCAGAAGAGGAGAGUGGAACUCCAUGUGUAGCGGUGGAAUGCGUAGAUAUAUGGAAGAACACCAGUGGCGAAGGCGGCUCUCUGGUCUGCAACUGACGCUGAGGCUCGAAAGCAUGGGUAGCGAACAGGAUUAGAUACCCUGGUAGUCCAUGCCGUAAACGAUGAGUGCUAAGUGUUGGGAGGUUUCCGCCUCUCAGUGCUGCAACUAACGCAUUAAGCACUCCGCCUGGGGAGUACGACCGCAAGGUUGAAACUCAAAGGAAUUGACGGGGGCCCGCACAAGCGGUGGAGCAUGUGGUUUAAUUCGAAGCAACGCGAAGAACCUUACCAGGUCUUGACAUCUAGUGCCAUCCUAAGAGAUUAGGAGUUCCCUUCGGGGACGCUAAGACAGGUGGUGCAUGGCUGUCGUCAGCUCGUGUCGUGAGAUGUUGGGUUAAGUCCCGCAACGAGCGCAACCCUUAUUAUUAGUUGCCAGCAUUAAGUUGGGCACUCUAAUGAGACUGCCGGUGACAAACCGGAGGAAGGUGGGGAUGACGUCAAGUCAUCAUGCCCCUUAUGACCUGGGCUACACACGUGCUACAAUGGGCAGUACAACGAGAAGCGAGCCUGCGAAGGCAAGCGAAUCUCUGAAAGCUGUUCUCAGUUCGGACUGCAGUCUGCAACUCGACUGCACGAAGCUGGAAUCGCUAGUAAUCGCGGAUCAGAACGCCGCGGUGAAUACGUUCCCGGGCCUUGUACACACCGCCCGUCACACCAUGGAAGUCUGCAAUGCCCAAAGCCGGUGGCCUAACCUUCGGGAAGGAGCCGUCUAAGGCAGGGCAGAUGACUGGGGUGAAGUCGUA
rnacentral:rRNA from 1 species